rnacentral:tRNA from 1 species
GGCCCCAUCGACAAGCGGCUUAAGUCACAGCCCUCUCAAGGCUGUAUUCACGGGUUCGAAUCCCGUUGGGGUCACCA